UCGGUCGUAGAGUAUAAAGGCAAAAGCGCGCUUGACUGCGAGACAGACACGUCGAGCAGGUACGAAAGUAGGUCUUAGUGAUCCGGUGGUUCUGUAUGGAAGGGCCAUCGCUCAACGGAUAAAAGGUACUCCGGGGAUAACAGGCUGAUACCGCCCAAGAGUUCAUAUCGACGGCGGUGUUUGGCACCUCGAUGUCGGCUCAUCUCAUCCUGGGGCUGAAGCAGGUCCCAAGGGUAUGGCUGUUCGCCAUUUAAAGAGGUACGCGAGCUGGGUUUAGAACGUCGUGAGACAGUUCGGUCCCUAUCUGCCGUGGGCGUUGGAAGAUUGAGAGGGGUUGCUCCUAGUACGAGAGGACCGGAGUGAACGCACCACUGGUGUUCGGGUUGUCAUGCCAAUGGCAU
rnacentral:rRNA from 1 species